GGAUGGAGCAGUCUGGUAGCUCGUCGGGCUCAUAACCCGAAGGUCGUCGGUUCAAAUCCGGCUCCCGCAACCA
rnacentral:tRNA from 1 species